rnacentral:rRNA from 1 species
GUGAGGAAUAUUGGACAAUGGGCGCAAGCCUGAUCCAGCCAUGCCGCGUGCAGGAAGACGCAUCUAUGGUGUGUAAACUGCUUUUGUACGGGAAGAAACACUCCCUCGUGAGGGAGCUUGACGGUACCGUAAGAAUAAGGAUCGGCUAACUCCGUGCCAGCAGCCGCGGUAAUACGGAGGAUCCAAGCGUUAUCCGGAAUCAGUGGGUUUAAAGGGUCCGUAGGCGGUUUAAUAAGUCAGUGGUGAAAGCCCAUUGCUCAACGAUGGAACGGCCAUUGAUACUGUUAGACUUGAAUUACAAGGAAGUAACUAGAAUAUGUAGUGUAGCGGUGAAAUGCUUAGAUAUUACAUGGAAUACCAAUUGCGAAGGCAGGUUACUACUUGUGGAUUGACGCUGAUGGACGAAAGCGUGGGGAGCGAACAGGAUUAGAUACCCUGGUAGUCC